rnacentral:lncRNA from 1 species
AGAAAGCACCAGUUGUAAACCGCGCCUCUUAUCACAGCUGGGGUUUUUAUUUAUUUUUCUUUCUCUUGCCCUUUCUAUUUCCCUACCUAUCUUUAUCCGGAUUUUUAAAUUGCCAGCGCGGGUCGGAGACUGUAACCCCAAUUCGGAUAGAGUCUCCUGCAGCCAAGGAGCAUCCAGCAUUCGCCAUAUGAAGGAAGAAACCAGCCGUCUCUGAGGUAGAUGCUUUGCUCUGUCGGGUCUGUACUACAGGACCUACAAGAUCCAGGGAUGAUGGAGAAGCUUUUGCAGCCUUCCAGAAAAUCAGGGUUCCGAAAAGUGGAAGAAAAAAAAUUGUCCAGGAGGAAUCACAGUAAGAAGGAUAAGCUUGGAGUAUCCAGUCGCCGUGGUAACUGCCAGAAAAAUCCUCCUGAAGUUUGA